rnacentral:rRNA from 1 species
UUGAACGCUGGCGGCAGGCCUAACACAUGCAAGUCGAGCGGUAGCACAGAGAGCUUGCUCUCGGGUGACGAGCGGCGGACGGGUGAGUAAUGUCUGGGAAACUGCCUGAUGGAGGGGGAUAACUACUGGAAACGGUAGCUAAUACCGCAUAAUGUCGCAAGACCAAAGUGGGGGACCUUCGGGCCUCAUGCCAUCAGAUGUGCCCAGAUGGGAUUAGCUAGUAGGUGGGGUAACGGCUCACCUAGGCGACGAUCCCUAGCUGGUCUGAGAGGAUGACCAGCCACACUGGAACUGAGACACGGUCCAGACUCCUACGGGAGGCAGCAGUGGGGAAUAUUGCACAAUGGGCGCAAGCCUGAUGCAGCCAUGCCGCGUGUGUGAAGAAGGCCUUCGGGUUGUAAAGCACUUUCAGCGGGGAGGAAGGCGAUAAGGUUAAUAACCUUGUCGAUUGACGUUACCCGCAGAAGAAGCACCGGCUAACUCCGUGCCAGCAGCCGCGGUAAUACGGAGGGUGCAAGCGUUAAUCGGAAUUACUGGGCGUAAAGCGCACGCAGGCGGUCUGUCAAGUCGGAUGUGAAAUCCCCGGGCUCAACCUGGGAACUGCAUUCGAAACUGGCAGGCUAGAGUCUUGUAGAGGGGGGUAGAAUUCCAGGUGUAGCGGUGAAAUGCGUAGAGAUCUGGAGGAAUACCGGUGGCGAAGGCGGCCCCCUGGACAAAGACUGACGCUCAGGUGCGAAAGCGUGGGGAGCAAACAGGAUUAGAUACCCUGGUAGUCCACACCGUAAACGAUGAUUACUAGGUGUUGGAGGAUUGACCCCUUCAGUGCCGCAGUUAACACAAUAAGUAAUCCACCUGGGGAGUACGACCGCAAGGUUGAAACUCAAAGGAAUUGACGGGGGCCCGCACAAGCAGUGGAGUAUGUGGUUUAAUUCGAAGCAACGCGAAGAACCUUACCAGGUCUUGACAUCCGAUGCAUAGCACAGAGAUGUGUGAAAUCCUUCGGGACAUCGAGACAGGUGGUGCAUGGUUGUCGUCAGCUCGUGUCGUGAGAUGUUGGGUUAAGUCCCGCAACGAGCGCAACCCUUAUCCUUUGUUGCCAGCGGUUAGGCCGGGAACUCAAAGGAGACUGCCAGUGAUAAACUGGAGGAAGGUGGGGAUGACGUCAAGUCAUCAUGGCCCUUACGACCAGGGCUACACACGUGCUACAAUGGCAUAUACAAAGAGAAGCGACCUCGCGAGAGCAAGCGGACCUCAUAAAGUAUGUCGUAGUCCGGAUUGGAGUCUGCAACUCGACUCCAUGAAGUCGGAAUCGCUAGUAAUCGUAGAUCAGAAUGCUACGGUGAAUACGUUCCCGGGCCUUGUACACACCGCCCGUCACACCAUGGGAGUGGGUUGCAAAAGAAGUAGGUAGCUUAACCUUCGGGAGGGCGCUUACCACUUUGUGAUUCAUGACUGGGGUG